rnacentral:rRNA from 1 species
UACGAAGGGGGCUAGCGUUGCUCGGAAUCACUGGGCGUAAAGCGCACGUAGGCGGCUUCUUAAGUCAGGGGUGAAAUCCUGGAGCUCAACUCCAGAACUGCCUUUGAUACUGAGGAGCUUGAGUCCGGGAGAGGUGAGUGGAAUUCCCAGUGUAGCGGUGAAAUGCGUAGAUAUUGGGAGGAACACCAGUGGCGAAGGCGGCUCACUGGACCGGAACUGACGCUGAGGCGCGAAAGCGUGGGGAGCAAACAGG